GACGAACGCUGGCGGCGUGCUUAACACAUGCAAGUCGAACGGAAAGGCCCUGCUUUUGUGGGGUGCUCGAGUGGCGAACGGGUGAGUAACACGUGAGUAACCUGCCCUUGACUUUGGGAUAACUUCAGGAAACUGGGGCUAAUACCGGAUAGGAGCUCCUGCUGCAUGGUGGGGGUUGGAAAGUUUCGGCGGUUGGGGAUGGACUCGCGGCUUAUCAGCUUGUUGGUGGGGUAGUGGCUUACCAAGGCUUUGACGGGUAGCCGGCCUGAGAGGGUGUCCGGCCACAUUGGGACUGAGAUACGGCCCAGACUCCUACGGGAGGCAGCAGUGGGGAAUAUUGCACAAUGGGAGGAAGCCUGAUGCAGCAACGCCGCGUGCGGGAUGACGGCCUUCGGGUUGUAAACCGCUUUCGCCUGUGACGAAGCGUGAGUGACGGUAAUGGGUAAAGAAGCACCGGCUAACUACGUG
rnacentral:rRNA from 1 species